GGGGAUAUAGCUCAGUCGGUAGAGUGCCUGCCUCACAUGCACGAGGCUCUGGGUUCAAUCCCCAGCACCACUA
rnacentral:tRNA from 1 species